rnacentral:rRNA from 1 species
CCUACGGGAGGCAGCAGUGGGGAAUAUUGGACAAUGGGCGCAAGCCUGAUCCAGCCAUGCCGCGUGGAUGAUGAAGGCCUUAGGGUUGUAAAGUCCUUUCAGCGGGGAAGCGGUACCCGCAGAAGAAGCCCCGGCUAACUUCGUGCCAGCAGCCGCGGUAAUACGAAGGGGGCUAGCGUUGCUCGGAAUUACUGGGCGUAAAGCGUACGUAGGCGGAUCCUUAAGUCGGUGGUGAAAUCCUGAAGCUCAACUUCAGAACUGCCUUCGAUACUGGGGACCUUGAGUUCGGGAGAGGUGAGUGGAACUGCGAGUGUAGAGGUGAAAUUCGUAGAUAUUCGCAAGAACACCAGUGGCGAAGGCGGCUCACUGGCCCGUCUGACGCUGAGGUACGAAAGCGUGGGGAGCAAACAGGAUUAGAUACCCUUGUAGUC